rnacentral:rRNA from 1 species
CGAGUGGCGAACGGGUGAGUAACGCGUGAGGAACCUGCCUCAAAGAGGGGGACGACAGUUGGAAACGACUGCUAAUACCGCAUAAGCCCACGGGUCGGCAUCGACCAGAGGGAAAAGGAGCAAUCCGCUUUGAGAUGGCCUCGCGUCCGAUUAGCUAGUUGGUGAGGUAAUGGCCCACCAAGGCGACGAUCGGUAGCCGGACUGAGAGGUUGAACGGCCACAUUGGGACUGAGACACGGCCCUGACUCCUACGGGAGGCAGCAUG